UACAGAGGGUGCUAGCGUUGUUCGGAAUCAUUGGGCGUAAAGGGCGUGUAGGCGGUUUGCUAAGUCAUGUGUGAAAUCCCUCGGCUCAACCGGGGAACGACGCUUGAAACUGGCAAGCUAGAGUACCAAAGAGGGGGGUGGAAUUCCCGGUGUAGCGGUGAAAUGCGCAGAUAUCAGGAAGAACACCUAUGGCGAAGGCAGCACUCUGGGACGGUACUGACGCUGAGACGCGAAAGCGUGGGGAGCAAACAGG
rnacentral:rRNA from 1 species